rnacentral:lncRNA from 1 species
GCUCCACGAGCCCUAGCACUUUGUUUCUGACUUGUCAACACAAGUCUAUACGAGUUCUCUACAAUUCAUACAGUGGCCUACAACCACAGUCUAAGCUAUCUUUUGGCUAACAAGUUUACACGAACUACUCAGUUCCUUAAGCAUCAAUCUUUCGCAACAGAAAGAUAAAGAGUACAAAAAACUACUCAUCUCAUUUCUUACAUGCAACUUUCGUAUUAACAAAAUUUUGCAGGAUUACAACAGAUAAUCCUAUUUUAAGAAGUCGGAGUGUUCAGAGUACAACACAACUACACAACAACGAUUGCAAGCAACUGCCUACUGGCGGUUAUAACAAUCCUCCCAGGCUUUUAUUAUAUCACAAGGAUACACCUGAGCCUGGUGACUACUCGCAGUCCAUGAGGAAGAACCACCAAGAGGCAAGGAGUGCACGCAAGGAAGCUGCGCCUAGGCACUUGUGCUCUUCUCCUCCCCUCGGUGGUGGCAUAGACGGAGACUUGGGCUUCACACAUUCCAAUUCUGCUACCCUUCAUCAAC